rnacentral:rRNA from 1 species
ACGAACGCUGGCGGCGUGCUUAACACAUGCAAGUCGAACGAUGAAGCCCUUCGGGGUGGAUUAGUGGCGAACGGGUGAGUAACACGUGGGCAAUCUGCCCUUCACUCUGGGACAAGCCCUGGAAACGGGGUCUAAUACCGGAUACCACUCCUGCCUGCAUGGGUAGGGGUUGAAAGCUCCGGCGGUGAAGGAUGAGCCCGCGGCCUAUCAGCUUGUUAGUGGGGUAAUGGCCCACCAAGGCGACGACGGGUAGCCG